GUGGGGAAUAUUGGGCAAUGGGCGAAAGCCUGACCCAGCAACGCCGCGUGAAGGAAGAAGGUCUUCGGAUCGUAAACUUCUAUCCUUGGUGAAGAUAAUGACGGUAGCCGAGAAGGAAGCCCCGGCUAACUACGUGCCAGCAGCCGCGGUAAUACGUAGGGGGCAAGCGUUGUCCGGAAUGAUUGGGCGUAAAGGGCGCGUAGGCGGCCUGGUAAGUCUGGAGUGAAAGUCAUGCUUUUAAGGUGGGAAUUGCUUUGGAUACUGUCGGGCUUGAGUGCAGGAGAGGUAAGUGGAAUUCCCGGUGUAGCGGUGAAAUGCGUAGAGAUCGGGAGGAACACCAGUGGCGAAGGCGACUUACUGGACUGUAACUGACGCUGAGGCGCGAAAGUGUGGGGAGCAAACAGGAUUAGAUAACCCGGUAGUCC
rnacentral:rRNA from 1 species